rnacentral:rRNA from 1 species
GACGUAGGGCGCAAGCGUUGUCCGGAUUUAUUGGGCGUAAAGAGCUCGUAGGCGGGCUUGUUGCGUCGGCUGUGAAAAACCCGGCGGCUUAACCCGUGGCUUUGCAGCCGAUACGGGCGGGCUGGAGUUCGGUAGGGGAGACUGGAAUUCCUGGUGUAGCGGUGAAAAUGCGCAGAUAUCAGGAGGAACACCGGUGGCGAAGGCGGGUCUCUGGGCCGAUACUGACGCUGAGGAGCGAAAGCGUGGGGAGCGAACAGG